rnacentral:rRNA from 1 species
UUAAAAGUUCGGGGNUUAACCCCGUGAGGGGAUGGAAACUGCUGAUCUAGAGUAUNGGAGAGGAAAGUGGAAUUCCUAGUGUAGCGGUGAAAUGCGUAGAUAUUAGGAAGAACACCAGUGGCGAAGGCGACUUUCUGGACGAAAACUGACGNUGAGGCGCGAAAGCCAGGGGAGCGAACGGGAUUAGAUACCCCGGUANUCCUGGCCGUAAACGAUGGGUACUAGGUGUAGGAGGUAUCGACCCCUUCUGUGCCGGAGUUAACGCAAUAAGUACCCCGCCUGGGGAGUACGACCGCAAGGUUGAAACUCAAAGGAAUUGACGGGGGCCCGCACAAGCGGUGGAGUAUGUGGUUUAAUUCGACGCAACGCGAAGAACCUUACCAGGUCUUGACAUUGAUGGACAGAACCAGAGAUGGUUCCUCUUCUUCGGAAGCCAGAAAACAGGUGGUGCACGGUUGUCGUCAGCUCGUGUCGUGAGAUGUUGGGUUAAGUCCCGCAACGAGCGCAACCCCUAUCUUAUGUUGCCAGCACUUCGGGUGGGAACUCAUGAGAGACUGCCGCAGACAAUGCGGAGGAAGGCGGGGAUGACGUCAAAUCAUCAUGCCCCUUAUGACCUGGGCUACACACGUACUACAAUGGGAGUUAAUAGACGGAAGCGAGAUCGCGAGAUGGAGCAAACCCGAGAAACACUCUCUCAGUUCGGAUCGUAGGCUGCAACUCGCCUACGUGAAGUCGGAAUCGCUAGUAAUCGCAGGUCAGCAUACUGCGGUGAAUACGUUCCCGGGCCUUGUACACACCGCCCGUCACACCACGAAAGUCGGAAGUGCCCAAAGCCGGUGGGGUAACCUUCGGGAGCCAGCCNU